AUUGAACGCUGGCGGCAUGCUUUACACAUGCAAGUCGAACGGUAACAGGUCUUCGGAUGCUGACGAGUGGCGAACGGGUGAGUAAUGCAUCGGAACGUGCCCAGUCGUGGGGGAUAACGCAGCGAAAGCUGUGCUGAUACCGCAUACGAUCUAUGGAUGAAAGCGGGGGACCGUAAGGCCUCGCGCGAUUGGAGCGGCCGAUGUCAGAUUAGGUAGUUGGUGGGGUAAAGGCCCACCAAGCCAACGAUCUGUAGCUGGUCUGAGAGGACGACCAGCCACACUGGGACUGAGACACGGCCCAGACUCCUACGGAAGGCAGCAGGGGGGAAUUUUGGACAAUGGGCGCAAGCCUGAUUCAGCAAUGCCGCGUGCAGGAAGAAGGCCUUCGGGUUGUAAACUGCUUUUGUACGGAACGAAACGGUCUGGGUUAAUACCCUGGGCUAAUGACGGUACCGUAAGAAUAAGCCCCGGCUAACUACGUGCCAGCCGCCGCGGUAA
rnacentral:rRNA from 1 species